UACGUAGGUGGCAAGCGUUGUUCGGAAUUCCUGGGCGUAAAGGGCUCGUAGGUGGCCAACUAAGUCAGACGUGAAAUCCCUCGGCUUAACCGGGGAACUGCGUCUGAUACUGGAUGGCUUGAGUUCGGGAGAGGGAUGCGGAAUUCCAGGUGUAGCGGUGAAAUGCGUUGAUAUCGACCGGAACUCCGGUGGCGAAGGCGAGGCGCUGGACCCUUUCUGACGCUGAGGCGCGAAAGCCAGGGGAGCAAACGGG
rnacentral:rRNA from 1 species